rnacentral:lncRNA from 1 species
UGCAGUCAUACUGAUUUUUUUAAUCGAAAGCCUAUUUACAAAACUACCUAACCGUACAGACUAUUUGUUUUCGAUGCAUUUCGUUUCGCCCAUCGAUGAGAUUAAGGUUAGAAAACGACGGAUGUUAAAUGGUUGAUGCUCGUUAUUUUCGUUGGUCUGAAAAAGCUUAUGAACAUUUCGCCGUCUGCAUGGAGCGAUGACCGUUCGUCAAGAGAGCUGGCAUGUGUUUUCACAAUGUUAUUUUAAUAGACCUUACCGUUUUAUAUUCACGUUUGACCCAAUGGCCUCGUUUUCGUGUUUGCCAGUUUUGCAUGGGCGUACCGGAAGGAAAAAUUUAGGGGGGCGGCAAGAAAUUUGCCCGACUUUUCCGGAUUUUGCUCAGUGAUUUUGCCCGACAAGUGCCGAAAAAUUUUUUUCCGGAAUUUGUUUUGGCGUCCUCCCCCCCCCGUCGCCAAAAAAAUUUCGGUCAGUGUACCAUUUUAGAGGUCAAAAAUUUUUUCCGGACAUACCAAAAUUGUCCGGAACCUACAAAAUUUUG